GGAGAGGUGUCCGAGUGGCUUAAGGAGCACGCUUGGAAAGCGUGUGUACCCUUUUGUGGUACCGCGGGUUCGAAUCCCGCCCUCUCCGCCA
rnacentral:tRNA from 1 species